AUUGUAUCCAAUAGUUAUCAAGAUUUGUACUCCAGUGCCUGUUCCUCCCGCUCCUCUGGAGUCUUAUAAUUGUGUUUUUGUUCAUGAUUUAUGCCACAACCACACAUCUGACAUAUUUUUCCUGUUAUUUGUUUCAGGCAACAGAAUUCCUCAGCCUGCCCUAGGCCUGAGACAUAAUGGCCCUAUUUUGCUUUUAGGAUUUUCCUCCCUUGAGGCAUUCAGACCUUCCAGGAUUUGCUUGGGGAUUCGAAUGUAACUUUUCUCAUGAGGCAACAUCUAUGACUUUCUGGGUAGCCCUUUCUCUUCCACCCAUUUUAUGAGCAGAGGUAGCUUGUGCUUGGUGGGACGGACCUAGACUUUUCGGAAGAUCAAUCGUAUCAACAUUUCCUGAGUCAUUUGUCUUUGUGGGAUGGGUAAUGAAGGGGUCUUGGAGACUGAGCGGCCCAGUAAUUUGUUCCUUCCCAGAUAAGGAUGGUCUGAUCAGGGGUUGACUAUCCACGCUGCUGAGACCCAGACUGUGGAGCUCCAACAAUAUUUGCUUUUGAAAGGCUUGAAGUCCGCGGACCCCGGCACUCUGGCAGCUGACCUAAUCUUACCCUGAUGAUGAGUGGAGUUCUGCCUGGAGGUGAAGAUUCGAACCAAAGCAAUAAUUGUUCUUUAGGUAAACCUCAGCGGUUAGCAACUCUCCAGUGCCCCACAAUGAUGAAUGGAGAGUUGGACCUCUCCGGUGCCAUUCCUAAGUUCGGUUUGCCUGCUUGUAAAAGAUGUGCUUUGCAAAGUGCUUUAUACAUAGUAAGUAUUAGUUCAGCUGGAUCUAAAACAAGUUUGGACACCAGAGUUUCUUCUGCGGCCAGUAAAAUGUGUUAAUAUCCUCCCUCCUUCCAUCUCUGCCUCCCUUCCUUCCUUCUCUCUCUCUCUUUCUUUCUCUUUUUCUUUUCGUCCAGAACCACUUUUUCACCAAACCACAGAUGUUUGCCUUUUCAUGUU
rnacentral:lncRNA from 1 species